ACUGCCUUGGGUCCGGCAUAACUCCGGGAAAUGGAGAUAAUUCCGGAUAACGCACAUAUGCUGGAAUGCUUUAUGCGUAAAAUGGAUUCGUCUGCCCAAGGAUGGGUCUGCGGCCUAUCAGGUAGUAGUGGGUGUAAUGUACCUACUAGCCUACGACGGGUACGGGUUGUGAGAGCAAGAGCCCGGAGAUGGAUUCUGAGACAUGAAUCCAGGCCCUACGGGGCGCAGCAGGCGCGAAAACUUUACAAUGCGGGAAACCGUGAUAAGGGGACACCGAGUGCCAGCAUCAUAUGCUGGCUGUCCAGGUGUGUAAAAUACACCUGUUAGCAAGGGCCGGGCAAGACCGGUGCCAGCCGCCGCGGUAACACCGGCGGCCCGAGUGGUGAUCGUGAUUAUUGGGUCUAAAGGGUCCGUAGCCGGUUUGGUCAGUCCUCCGGGAAAUCUGAUAGCUUAACUAUUAGGCUUUCGGGGGAUACUGCCAGACUUGGAACCGGGAGAGGUAAGAGGUACUACAGGGGUAGGAGUGAAAUCUUGUAAUCCCUGUGGGACCACCUGUGGCGAAGGCGUCUUACCAGAACGGGUUCGACGGUGAGGGACGAAAGCUGGGGGCACGAACCGGAUUAGAUACCCGGGUAGUCCCAGCCGUAAACGAUGCUCGCUAGGUGUCAGGCAUGGCGCGACCGUG
rnacentral:rRNA from 1 species